UCUCUCUCUGCUAUGUAAGUACACAGUGAGAAGGUAGCUAUCAGAAAGCUGGGAAAAAAAAAGCUCUGGACCAGAACCCAACUCUUCUGGAACCCUUAUCUUAGCUUCUGGCCUCCAAAGUCCAAGAAAAUAAGUAAUAAAGGAGCUUUCCUCAACUUUCUUCACAGCCAGCCUACUGAACCUCUUCAUUCUCCAUCUCUACCACUCCUGUGGGCAAGAACAAAAGAAGAAAAAAAAAAAAGCUAGGGAACAGAGAUGCCUUUUCAUGCUCUUAAUCAAAGAUAAUAAAUGGAAAGUAUGAUGUAAAUACCCACUGUGAGCAAAGUUUGGGUCUACACACUGGAGGAGACCUGAAGAAGAAUGCAGUUGAAACCCUGCCAUCAAAAUUAAGGCUGGUCCACUGACCAUUCCUCUACCCAGAAUGCUCUUCACGCCGAUCUCCACUGCACAGGCUUCUGCUUCUCCUCCAAGUUUCAGUUCAAAUGUUACCUUUUCAGACAGAAUGCAUACAGCUCUAUCACUCAAAACUAAGUUGUACAAUUGAAAGGUGAAUGAAAGCUACAAAGGACUCAUAUAAUGGCUAACAUUGACUGAGUUCCUACCAUGGACCAAUCACUGUUUUCAGUACUUUCCAUAAUCUAUGUCUAAUCUCCACAGCAACACUUCAAGGGAGCUGCAGUGUGGGAACUGACAUGGAUGUGGGAACUGACCUUAAUGGACAAGAUGACUUUACAAGGCAUAGCUAAUCAUUCUACUGAGAAAAUACUUUUUCAUUCAUUCUCCAGUUGCUCUUUUCUUUUUCAACUUCAUGGGAGACAACUGAAACAGCAGGAGAGAAACACAAGGAUGAAGAACUUGAGGUAAGGAUGGCUGAGGACUUAUCAAGGAGGCUGCAGCAGUCAGAGAAUGGUCCCGCCCAUCACUUAACAGGGGUGAAGAGAACUGUGGCUUAAACACACCCGAUCCCUCCCUUCCUUAGUCACCUACCAACAGAGAUCAUGCUCACAAGAAGUCUAACUGGUACCACCACCUGAUCAUCAACCUACGCCUGCACAUGCUGUUCUCUUCAUUGCUGGGAUAUCUGCUGCUAAGAAGAAAAAUGGGGAAGAGCAGUGAAUGCAAUAGAUAAGCUGAUGAGAAGGAACCUCUUUAACAUAUGAACUGGCAACCAGAGAGCCCUUCAGUCUAUCACUUGACACCCUUAGCCUGAAAGUGUAUGCCAAACAUCCUCAGAAAACACUAGCCUUCUGCCUAGCAAAUAUGACAAAAUAGCUUAGAUGCCUCCAAGUUUCAAAUGAUAGGCUCUUACUGAUUUCAUUGGCCAUGCAAAAGAGCAUGGACCAUAGGGCGAGGGCCUGGACAGAAUGGACAUACACAAAAUUUAAUUAAAAUGGGAAAUACAACCCAGACCCAGCAUAAUGAUUUUUUCUCGAGGCUACUGUUGCUCACUGCCUCUUCAAUACAUUAGAAAAUAUUAGGUGAACAGAUCUGUAGCUUAGAACCCUCUGCUCUUCUUUGGCUAUUCACCACAUUGUAAUGGGAUGCCUAUUUAUACCAAAGAAAUAGCCUGUAUGCACAGUAAUGUGCAUGGAAUCUGUCCCAGGACAGCAGAAGCCAAGUUAUCCUUCUCUUGUCUUUAUACAGUAAGAGUCCCUUCUGGAUCUCAUAAAUGCUCCUACUUUAUAUUAUUUAUAUACUUUUGCAAAUACUGCCUGUUAUCAUGGACAAUUUUGUUUGAAAAUCAGCAAUUAAAAAGAGAGUACACCUGCUCUGAACACCAAGCACAGUGGUGUUGCUGCCACAAUCACUCAUAGGAGAGCGAAUCCUUAGUUUCCUGGAGCCUAUAGUUCCUGACCCAGGAAGCUGAGAAGCAUCUUUGAGAGUUACCUAUCAAGACCCCAGGACCUGCUUGAAGGACACAAAUACUCAAUGUUGGCAUGGAAGUUUUUGCUGCUAUGUAGCCAAUCCAAGUACCUUAACAUUAAUGCAAUUUCUAGAUGCCAAAAAUCACCUUCCCUAGUUUAAAACAUGUGAUCUCAACACCUUGGAAUUCAUAUUACAGACUGGUUAAGAGCAUGAACACUGAAGUCUUGAUUGGAUGAAAAUCUUAUCAUGGUGACUGAUUAGCCAGAGCUUUUAUAAAAUUACUCAUAAACUUUUAAGUUGAAUUUCUCAACCAGUUAAUAUGGAAAAUAACAGAAUCUGUUUCCUAAAGUUGCCAUAAAAAUUAAAAUAAAAACUGUAGUAAACCUCCUAAUAUACUAACACAUGAUAGGGGCUCUAUAAGAAGUAGUUAUUUUUUUCCCCUCUGAAUAAUUAUUUUUUUCUUAGCUAAGUAGUUAUAGACUUGCAUAAGACAGAGGGUGGCAAUAAUAAUAUAAAUUCUUAAAAUUCAAAGUCCUCAUUAUAAAUAUCAAUACUUGAACUGCACACAGAUUAAAGAAGACCCUCAGCACCUAUUAAAAGUAUACAAGACUGUGCCUACCAACACUGUGGAGCCAGUGUUUCUUUGGGAAAUUGGCUGUUUUGAGUAAAUUUUAUAAUUUCUCUUCUGCUUCACUGUAAUUUUUUUUUUUUUUUUACUUUUUAAUAUUUUUGGUGUUCCUGACUCAGGAAAUCCUAUCUCCUCUAAUUUGUAUUGUGUUUUGGAAAGUGGGCUGA